rnacentral:piRNA from 1 species
UGCAAAGUACUGGCGCCAUGUGUC